rnacentral:rRNA from 1 species
CCUACGGGAGGCAGCAGUGGGGAAUAUUGCACAAUGGGCGAAAGCCUGAUGCAGCAACGCCGCGUGAGCGAUGAAGGCCUUCGGGUCGUAAAGCUCUGUCCUCAAGGAAGAUAAUGACGGUACUGGAGGAGGAAGCCCCGGCUAACUACGUGCCAGCAGCCGCGGUAAUACGUAGGGGGCUAGCGUUAUCCGGAAUUACUGGGCGGAAAGGGUGCGUAGGUGGUUUCUUAAGUCAGAGGUGAAAGGCUACGGCUCAACCGUAGUAAGCCUUUGAAACUGGGGAACUUGAGUGCAGGAGAGGAGAGUGGAAUUCCUAGUGUAGCGGUGAAAUGCGUAGAUAUUAGGAGGAACACCAGUUGCGAAGGCGGCUCUCUGGACUGUAACUGACACUGAGGCACGAAAGCGUGGGGAGCAAACAGGAUUAGAUACCCCAGUAGUC